AGAACAAUGUACAACUCUUAUCGAUAAGCCAUUGGAGGGCAAGUCUGGUGCCAGCAGCCGCGGUAAUUCCAGCUCCAAUAGCGUAUAUUAACGUUGUUGCAGUUAAAAAGCUCGUAGUUGAAGUGUGGGUGAUCGCUGUUGUGAGACUUCGGUCUCUCGAUAGUAAGUCACCCCCUUCCAGUAUCCAGUAGUGGGUAUUCAGUUACUUACUAUUGUGUGUUGGUCGUUUACUGUGAGAAAAUUAGAGUGUUCAAAGCAGGCGUUUGCUUGAAUAGAUUAGCAUGGAAUAAUAAUUGAAGGCUUUCGUGUUCGAUUUGAUUGGUUUGUUCAUGGAAGCAAGGUUAAAAGGAACAGUUGGGGGUAUUCAUAU
rnacentral:rRNA from 1 species